rnacentral:rRNA from 1 species
UACGUAGGGUGCGAGCGUUGUCCGGAAUUACUGGGCGUAAAGAGCUCGUAGGUGGUUUGUCGCGUUGUCCGUGAAAACUCACAGCUUAACUGUGGGCGUGCGGGCGAUACGGGCAGACUGGAGUACUGCAGGGGAGACUGGAAUUCCUGGUGUAGCGGUGGAAUGCGCAGAUAUCAGGAGGAACACCGGUGGCGAAGGCGGGUCACUGGCCCGGUACUGACGCUGAGGUGCGAAAGCGUGGGGAGCGAACAGG